UACGUAGGGGGCAAGCGUUGUCCGGAAUCAUUGGGCGUAAAGAGCGUGUAGGCGGUUCGGUAAGUCCGCUGUGAAAGUCCAGGGCUCAACCCUGGAAUGCCGGUGGAUACUGUCGGGCUAGAGUCCGGAAGAGGCGAGUGGAAUUCCUGGUGUAGCGGUGAAAUGCGCAGAUAUCAGGAGGAACACCAAUUGCGAAGGCAGCUCGCUGGGACGUUACUGACGCUGAGACGCGAAAGCGUGGGGAGCAAACAGGAUUAGAAACCCGUGUAGU
rnacentral:rRNA from 1 species